rnacentral:rRNA from 1 species
GACGUAGGUGGCGAACGUUAUCCGGAAUUAUUGGGCGUAAAGGGUGCGUAGAUGGCUUGAUAAGUUAGCAGUGGGAAAUCGAGGCUCAACCUCGUGGAAGCUGGUAAUACUGUCAGGCUCGAGUGCAGGAGAGGUCAACGGAACUCCAUGUGGAGCGGUAAAAUGUGUAGAUAUAUGGAAGAACACCAAGAACGGCGAAGGCAGUUAACUAUGCUGUUACUGACAUUGAGGCACGAAAGCGUGGGGAGCAAAACGG